rnacentral:rRNA from 1 species
GCAUAACGCGAAGAACCUUACCAGGUCUUGACAUCGAGUGAAGAGUGCAGAGAUGUGCUCGUCCUUCGGGACACAAAGACAGGUGGUGCAUGGUUGUCGUCAGCUCGUGUCGUGAGACGUUGGGUUAAGUCCCGCAACGAGCGCAACCCUUAUCAUUAGUUGCUACGCAAGAGCACUCUAAUGAGACUGCCGUUGACAAAACGGAGGAAGGUGGGGAUGACGUCAAAUCAUCAUGCCCCUUAUGACCUGGGCCACACACGUACUACAAUGGGCGCUAACAGAGGGAAGCAAAGCCGCGAGGUGGAGCAAACCCCUAAAAACGUUCUCAGUUCGGAUUGCAGGCUGCAACCCGCCUGCAUGAAGCCGGAAUUGCUAGUAAUCGCGGAUCAGCAUGCCGCGGUGAAUACGUUCCCGGGUCUUGUACACACCG